AAGUUGUAACAAGGUUUCCGUAGGUGAACCUGCGGAAGGAUCAUUAACAAAUCCAAUAAUUGCGGGAGAACAUUUGUUCUUUUUGCAAAUAUUAAUCCGCUGGCCGCUCUUAGUAGCAGCUGGCUGUGAUAUAAAUGCGUGUUAUGUUGACAGUGUGUGCAUAAUUUAAUAUUGACAACUUUUAACAAUGGAUCUCUAGGCUCUUGCAACGAUGAAGAACGCAGCAAAGUGCGAAAAGUGUUGCGAUUUGCACGAAUCUGUGAGUCAUCUAAUCUUUGAACGCGAAUGGCACUGCUAUGUAAGUAGCAGUAUGUCUGUUUGAGAAUCGCAAAACACGAUCAACUCUGGUUAAGAGUUGGGAUUGACCUCAUAUGCUCUCUAGCGUAUCUGGUUUGAAUGGAUUAAGUUGAUGAGCUUCCCAACAUCGCUCAAUGUGUGCUAGCGAGACAGUCGUCCCGAUCUCACAUUACAGUUUUGUUGCAAAGUUCUAUGCACAGUUUUUUAUUUAUUUUAUCAAGUACGAUCUCAAAUCAGGCAAGAUUACCCGCUGAACUUAA
rnacentral:rRNA from 1 species